CAGGCCUCUGUUCCAACUCCUGGGGGCAGAGACUGUGUGUGUUUUGCUCAUGACUGUAUCCUCAGCAUCCAGAACAGGACCAAGUCCACAGUAGGAGUUCCAGAAAAUGUGUCAAGUAAAUAGUUGCUUCCAAGGUACAGUCACCCCAGCUGGGGUUGGAAGAAAUAGCAGUGGGCACAAGAGAGCCAGUCGAAUCCAAACUCCAUUUCUAACUAGUGACCGUUCCCAUUGGGAGAUCAUGCAACACAGUUCUAAGCUGAUGAGACAUAGAAGAACUCUGCUGUGAGAUUCUUGGUCCUUUCUCCAUUCUUCUUGCUGUGCAUAAAUAAGAAUUUGAUGGCUGGUACUUCAGCAGCCAUUUUGCAGUUAUGAGGGAGUGAUCAAGAGACCCUCAGAGACUUUAACCCUGACUUCUAAAGCCCUGACUGCAUGCUGCUUCUGAAUCAGCACCAGCAGCAACUAUCUGCCUCUAGACCUACUGAGAAAAAUAAAUCUUGAUUGAAGCCUC